AAACCUGCACCUCAAGUGGUCAGGAUGAUUAUUGGGCCUAAAGCAUCCGUAGCCGGCUCUGUAAGUUUUCGGUUAAAUCUGUACGCUCAACGUACAGGCUGCCGGGAAUACUGCAGAACUAGGGAGUGGGAGAGGUAGACGGUACUCGGGAGGAAGUGGUAAAAUGCUUUGAUCUCUCGAUGACCACCUGUGGCGAAGGCGGUCUACCAGAACACGUCCGACGGUGAGGGAUGAAAGCUGGGGGAGCAAACCGGAUUAGAAACCCCGGUAGUCC
rnacentral:rRNA from 1 species